rnacentral:snRNA from 1 species
AAUAAAGAUGGAUUUUUUU